AUAAGUAAUGUGAAUUGCAGAAUUCAGUGAAUCAUCGAAUCUUUGAACGCACCUUGCGCUCCUUGGUAUUCCGAGGAGCAUGCCUGUUUGAGUGUCUUGA
rnacentral:rRNA from 1 species